AUGGUUGUGGAAUAGUGGUUUGAAUGUUGGACUAUGGUUCUGGAGAACUGGGUUCAAUUCCCUGCUCAGCCAUG